rnacentral:rRNA from 1 species
AGUGAACGCUGGCGGUAGGCCUAACACAUGCAAGUCGAACGGCAGCACAGGAGAGCUUGCUCUCUGGGUGGCGAGUGGCGGACGGGUGAGGAAUACAUCGGAAUCUGCCCAGUCGUGGGGGAUAACGUAGGGAAACUUACGCUAAUACCGCAUACGACCUUCGGGUGAAAGAGGGGGAUCGCAAGACCUCUCGCGAUUGGAUGAGCCGAUGUCGGAUUAGCUAGUUGGCGGGGUAAUGGCCCACCAAGGCGACGAUCCGUAACUGGUCUGAGAGGAUGAUCAGCCACACUGGAACUGAGACACGGUCCAGACUCCUACGGGAGGCAGCAGUGGGGAAUAUUGGACAAUGGGCGCAAGCCUGAUCCAGCCAUACCGCGUGGGUGAAGAAGGCCUUCGGGUUGUAAAGCCCUUUUGUUGGGAAAGAAAUCUUUCAGGCUAAUACCCUGGGAGGAUGACGGUACCCAAAGAAUAAGCACCGGCUAACUUCGUG